AGCCACUGGGCCCGGCCGACGUGGGGUCUAUUGAGGAGAACUUACAUACAAGAUGGUCCAGUGGUGGUCACCCAGGCUGGAGUGCAGUGGUGUGAUCUCAGCUCACUGCAACCUCUGCCUCCCAGGCUCAAGCGGUUCUCCUGUCUCAGCCUCCCUAGUAGCUGGGAUUACAGGCGUGUGCCAACACACUCAGCUGAUUUUUUGUAUUUUUAGUAGAGAUGAGGUUUCACCAUGUUGGUCAGGCUGGACUCUAACUCCUGACCUCAAGUAAUUCGCCUGCCUCAGCCUCCCAAAGUGCUGGGAUUAUAGGCAUGAGCCACUGUGCCUGGCCUAGAAAUGUUCUAUAUCUUGAUUUGGACUGGUAGUUACACAGACGUGGACAUUGAUCAAAACUCAUUGAAUUGUACAUUAAAGAUCUGUGCAUUUCACUGUAUGUAAAUUUAACCUCAAUUUAAAACAGAUCAGUUACUCCAAAAACUGGUACCCCUUGAUACUC
rnacentral:lncRNA from 1 species